rnacentral:siRNA from 1 species
UGAUAACCGGGAAACUAUGUUGAC